rnacentral:rRNA from 1 species
UGGGGAAUAUUGCACAAUGGAGGGAACUCUGAUGCAGCGACGCCGCGUGAGUGAUGAAGGAAUUCGUUUCGUAAAACUCUGUUCUAUGGGAAGAAAAGGACUGUACCAUAGGAGAAAGCUCCGGCUAAAUACGUGCCAGCAGCCGCGGUAAUACGUAUGGAGCGAGCGUUGUCCGGAAUUAUUGGGCGUAAAGGGUGCGCAGGCGGCUUUACAAGUUGGAUGUGAAAUAUUGUGGCUCAACCACAAACGUGCAUCCAAAACUGCAAAGCUUGAGUUAAGGAGAGGUAAGUGUAAUUCCUGGUGUAGCGGUGGAAUGCGUAGAUAUCAGGAGGAAUACCGGUGGCGAAGGCGACUUACUGGACUUAAACUGACGCUAAGGCACGAAAGCGUGGGGAGCAAACAGG